rnacentral:rRNA from 1 species
UUUAUCAAAAACAUUUUUUUUUAAAAAAAAAGUAUUGCCUGCCCAGUGAUUCUUAAACGGCUGCGGUAUUUUGACUGUGCUAAGGUAGCAUAAUCAUUUGCCACUUAAUUGGUAGCUGGAAUGAAGGGUUGAACUGGCUUACCAGGUAUGUAGGCUUGUGCAUAAAUUUAAAGUCAAGGUAAAAAUUCUUUGAUAUCUUAGGGGACGAUAAGACCCUAUAAAGCUUAACAAGUAUAUUGUAGACAUUGUGCUUUAGGGUUUUUUGUUUUAUUGGGGCGGUACUGGUGAGCUAACUACCAGGUAAGUUAAGAUCCUUAAUAUAUAGAUGGAGCGUAAAAGUUACUUUAGGGAUAACAGUGUAAUAUAUUUGGAGAGGUCUUAUCGAUAAGUAUGUUUGCUACCUCGAUGUUGAAUUAAAAUUUCUUUACGAAGCAGGAAGCGUAGUAGAAGGUUUGUUCAACCUUUAAAAUUUUACAUGAUCUGAGUUCAAA